UGGAGAGCCAGAGACCAUGUGGCUGAUCAAGAGAAGAAACUGGGGGGUGGCAUGGGCUGCAGGCUUGAGGAGAAUUUAAGAGCAAGGCCUAAGGAUGUUACCAAGCUCAGACUGUGCCCAUGGCUGGGCUCAGUGUUGCACACAUCAUCCCUGUGGGUUCCUGAUGUACCUGACGUGCAGGUGUUUCUCUAGCUCAGCCCCACAGCCCCCAGCCCUCAGUCUCUGCACCGGAGGGAGGGUCAGGUCCCCUCAGCAGGGCUCCCUCAGGCAGCCAGGGCAGUUCGUGGCCUCCCCUCCUCUCCCCCAGUGCCCCACCAUGGCCUGCCAGGGUGCCAGUGUUGUGGGAGGACAGUCUCCAUUCCUGGGGGGUUUGGAAGCAGCUGAUGACCCCCUCCUGGAGAGGAGCUCAGGAUUCCGCAGGUGACAAGUAUCUCCCACCAAGAUUCUCCAAAAACCCAUGAGAAGCUUCUGGCUAGUCCUGUUUUGGCUACAGUCCCCCAGUUUAUACAGUACAGAGGUGAAUUCACAUCCAGGAGGAGGGACUGGUAUGACUCCUUACAGUCACUUCCAACUGAAACAUUGUGUGCAGCCUUCAGAUGCCUGGGCUCACAACCACUCCUAAGUCCAUGCUAUGUCAUCAAAAGUCAACCAAAUCUCUUCUAUACCUCGCAA